GAAAUGCGAUAAGUAGUGUGAAUUGCAGAAUUCAGUGAAUCAUCGAAUCUUUGAACGCACAUUGCGCCCCUUGGUAUUCCAUGGGGCAUGCCUGUUCGAGCGUCAUUUGUACCCUCAAGCUUUGCUUGGUGUUGGGUGUUUGUUCCCUGCGCUUGCGCUAUCGGGGACUCGCCUCAAAACAAUUGGCAGCCGGCAUAUUGGCCUGGAGCGCAGCACAUUUUGCGCCUCUUGUCAUGGUUGUUGGCAUCCAUCAAGGACUUUUAUCAGCUCUUGACCUCGGAUCAGGUAGGGAUACCCGCUGAACUUAA
rnacentral:misc_RNA from 1 species